rnacentral:rRNA from 1 species
AACGAUCAUACCAUGCUGAAUAUACCGGUUCUCGUUCGAUCACCGAAGUCAAGCAUCAUUGGGCGCGGUCAGUACUUGGGUGGGUGACCACCUGGGAACACCGCAUGCCGUU